rnacentral:rRNA from 1 species
UACGGGGGGGGCAAGCGUUGUUCGGAAUUACUGGGCGUAAAGGGCUUGUAGGUGGCCAACUAAGUCAGACGUGAAAUCCCUCGGCUUAACCUGGGAACUGCGCUUCUAACUGGCAGGCUUGAGUGUGGCAGAGGGGGGUGGAAUUCCACGUGUAGCAGUGAAAUGCGUAGAGAUGUGGAGGAACACCGAUGGCGAAGGCAGCCCCCUGGGCUAACACUGACGCUCAUGCACGAAAGCGUGGGGAGCAAACAGG